GACAGAGGGUGCUAGCGUUGUUCGGAAUUACUGGGCGUAAAGGGCUCGUAGGUGGCCAACUAAGUCAGACGUGAAAUCCCUCGGCUUAACCGGGGAACUGCGUCUGAUACUGGAUGGCUUGAGUUUGGGAGAGGGAUGCGGAAUUCCAGGUGUAGCGGUGAAAUGCGUAGAUAUCUGGAGGAACACCGGUGGCGAAGGCGGCAUCCUGGACCAACACUGACGCUGAGUGAGCGAAAGCCAGGGGAGCAAACGGG
rnacentral:rRNA from 1 species